AUUGCUUCUCGGCCUUUUAGGUAAGAUCAAGCGUAGUAUCUGUUCUUAUCAGUUUAAAUACCUUCUAAUUCUCCUUCAUUCUGUCUUCUUUUCAUUCUAAUGUUUAUAGGUAGUUCACUUUAUUAGUCUUACGAGGAAGAAGUUGGAGACCUAUGCAAAUGUAACUCCUUCUGGAAUUGGCACAUCUUCA